rnacentral:tRNA from 1 species
CAGCUUGGUAGCGCAGCUUGGUAGCGCACCGUCAUGGGGUGUCGGGGGUCGGAGGUUCAAAUCCUCUCAGUCCGACCA